CAGUAGCCGCGGGAAUACGAAGGGGGCUAGCGUUGUUCGGAUUUACUGGGCGUAAAGGGUGCGUAGGCGGACUGAUAAGUCAGGGGUGAAAUCCCAAGGCUCAACCUUGGAACUGCCUUUGAUACUGUUAGUCUUGAGUUCGAGAGAGGUGAGCGGAACUGCGAGUGUAGAGGUGAAAUUCGUAGAUAUUCGCAAGAACACCAGUGGCGAAGGCGGCUCACUGGCUCGAAACUGACGCUGAGGCACGAAAGCGUGGGGAGCAAACAGGAUUAGAUACCCCAGUAGUCCCUGUCUCUUAUAC
rnacentral:rRNA from 1 species